rnacentral:rRNA from 1 species
UACGUAGGGUGCGAGCGUUAAUCGGAAUUACUGGGCGUAAAGCGUGCGCAGGCGGUUAUAUAAGACAGAUGUGAAAUCCCCGGGCUCAACCUGGGACCUGCAUUUGUGACUGUAUAGCUAGAGUACGGUAGAGGGGGAUGGAAUUCCGCGUGUAGCAGUGAAAUGCGUAGAUAUGCGGAGGAACACCGAUGGCGAAGGCAAUCCCCUGGACCUGUACUGACGCUCAUGCACGAAAGCAUGGGGAGCAAACAGG